rnacentral:lncRNA from 1 species
GGAAAAGUACGUAUGAAGUACUUUGAAACACAAAUAAGGAAGUGAUUUGCAUUGAGCGAAUCAGGGGAGGCUUCAUGGAAGAGCUGAUACCGGAAGGCUGAGUGGAGGGUUUCCUUGCAGAGAAGGAGAGAGCAUCCAAGUAGAGGGAGCUGUGAUAGAAAGAGGAGGAACUCAGAAAUCACACUUGCUCUUGGGACUGGAUCAGCCUCCAUUCACCAAGUCUUCACCUCAAGUGUGAAACUCCAAGGCAUCGCAGCCUGUCUGAACUAGCCCGGGAGACUGUCUGCCUGCCUGGGCAAACUGCUGAUGAGUGAGUUCAGGGCUGAGGAUGGCUCAGGCUUACCUUGGAAA